rnacentral:rRNA from 1 species
UCAUGAUUAUGUGAUAGGUGGUGCAUGGCCGUUCUUAGUUCGUGGAGUGAUCUGUCUGCUUAAUUGCGUUUCACUUAUUUUAUAGGAUCUAAUAUUAAUGAUGUGUGAGCGACUCGCAUGCUCUUGACCCACACUUGUUUACUCAAGUGGUCCGUGCGUCAUUAUAGGCUUUUGCUUGACCUCCCAUCUUUUAGCUAUCCUUUGAAAGCAACGAACGUGACCGCAACCUCUUGUUGCCUUCGUUUAACAUCCUACUGG